rnacentral:rRNA from 1 species
AAUAGAUACCCCGGUAGUCCACGCCGUAAACGAUGUCGACUUGGAGGUUGUGCCCUUGAGGCGUGGCUUCCGGAGCUAACGCGUUAAGUCGACCGCCUGGGGAGUACGGCCGCAAGGUUAAAACUCAAAUGAAUUGACGGGGGCCCGCACAAGCGGUGGAGCAUGUGGUUUAAUUCGAUGCAACGCGAAGAACCUUACCUGGUCUUGACAUCCACAGAAUUCUGCAGAGAUGCGGAAGUGCCUUCGGGAACUGUGAGACAGGUGCUGCAUGGCUGUCGUCAGCUCGUGUUGUGAAAUGUUGGGUUAAGUCCCGCAACGAGCGCAACCCUUAUCCUUUGUUGCCAGCGGUCCGGCCGGGAACUCAAAGGAGACUGCCAGUGAUAAACUGGAGGAAGGUGGGGAUGACGUCAAGUCAUCAUGGCCCUUACGACCAGGGCUACACACGUGCUACAAUGGCGCAUACAAAGAGAAGCGACCCCGCGAGGGCAAGCGGACCUCAUAAAGUGCGUCGUAGUCCGGAUUGGAGUCUGCAACG